rnacentral:rRNA from 1 species
CCUACGGGACGCUGCAGUGGGGAAUAUUGGACAAUGGGCGAAAGCCUGAUCCAGCCAUGCCGCGUGUGUGAAGAAGGCCUUCGGGUUGUAAAGCACUUUCAGUGGGGAAGAAAGCCUUGGGGCUAAUACCCUCGAGGAAGGACAUCACCCACAGAAGAAGCACCGGCUAACUCCGUGCCAGCAGCCGCGGUAAUACGGAGGGUGCGAGCGUUAAUCGGAAUUACUGGGCGUAAAGCGCGCGUAGGCGGUCUGAUAAGCCGGUUGUGAAAGCCCCGGGCUCAACCUGGGAACGGCAUCCGGAACUGUCAGGCUAGAGUGCAGGAGAGGAAGGUAGAAUUCCCGGUGUAGCGGUGAAAUGCGUAGAGAUCGGGAGGAAUACCAGUGGCGAAGGCGGCCUUCUGGACUGACACUGACGCUGAGGUGCGAAAGCGUGGGUAGCAAACAGGAUUAGAUACCCCAGUAGUC